UUAUAUUGGAUUAGGCCACCUAAUCCUCCUUAGAGGAGGAUUCAUGCACCCCGGAGAAGAGGACCGCAUGCCCCUAUUUAAUUAGGGCUUGGCGUGGUGCUCCUCCUAAUUUUUAGGGGACACCAUGCCUGUAGCAAGAAAAAGGAAAGGGAGGCCGGCGGCCUCCCUCUCUCUUCUCCCCUCUCUCUUUUGGUGUGGCAGCCCUCCUCUCUCCCCUCUCUGGUUCUUCCGCAAGAAAAGAGAAAGAAGAAGGGGCGGCCUCUUUCUCUACCUCUCUCUUUCCUCUUCCUCUUCCUCUUCCUCUUGAGAACAAUCAAAGAGUUGAUUGCAAAAGAGAGAGAGCUUCAAUCAUCCAAAGUGAUCUUUGCAAGGGAGCUAGCACCCCGAUGACAUCUAGGCGCUUGGAUUGGUUUCUUCCUCAUGUGGAUAUCCAUAAAGGCCGAAUACGUGUGCGGUUUCAAGCGAACCUUUCAAGUUUAUCACGAUCAUCAAAUUGCGGUAAAAAUCUACCUGCGCAAGGUGAAGAUAUGAUCUUUCUCUUUUGUUUUAAUCUUAAUCUAUCUACGAACGAUUUUAUUUAUUAAUGAGAUGAACAAUCGUGCAUGCAUCUUCCGCUGCGGUUUUUUUGCAGCAUGCAUGGUUUUCUAACAUCAUUCCUAUUCCAAUUCUUGCUCACGCCGUGAACCAAAUGUACCCUAAGUUCAAUGUUUAAAAAAUGUGUUGUCGAACUUAAGCUGUUCGAUGUUUAAAAAAUGUGUUUGGUGAACACGAGCUGAAUUGAUGUGGUAAGUUUUUGCCUCUCGUAGCUGUACUUUAACCAAGUGCAUGUAAGAAGCUGCCGCAUCAAAGUGAUGGUGGAAGUUUGCCGAUGGAACAAGCUGUAAGUUGGCUUGUUCAUCAGAUGCAGUAUUUAAAAUCAUUAAUUUCCUGGAAAAGGAGUAGAGAAGACAUGGUGAUGUAAACUGCUAAUUCGAGUCGCAUUUUUUUCCCUUCUAGGGGAUGCUAUUUAUUGUAUCUUUAGAAUUUUAUAGUGACAUAAAACGCUAUGCAAAUUCAAAAUUUCCCACAAAACAUUUAUGCAUUUGUAUAAUUUCAAGCGUCUUAUUUCGUAAGAUCAAAGGAUGCAUCUCAUGCAUCUUCUGCAUGUCAGCUUCUUUCUUGAUUCAUUAGAAUACAGCAUGCAAUCUAUUGCUGGAGCAUCUUUUUAUGGCUCAUUGGGUCAUAAAAAAUUCCUAUAUAUAGAUCAGUGGGGUGCGGUAGAUGUAACUUAGGAGCUGGUUUCAUAGUAACUCACGAUGCAUUCAUCAUCUUGAAAAAUCGCCAUAGAAUCCUCUAAGCUUGAUGGUAACAUGUUGAAUCUUGACACCUUAGUUGGAUCGCAUUUAGCAAUCUGAAAAAUCUAUGCCAGUUCUUGCCUCGUAGAAUCAAUAUAACACUGUUAAUAAUGAAUCUUCAAAAAUUAUUCAUUGGAUUCCUCCUCUUCGAUCCAUCAUCGGGACCUUUUUUUUUUUUUGAGGGGUCACGCCUUGUUUCUAUACUGAAUAAUAUCAGGUGCUCAAUUAUGUAUCACGUGUAAUACUCGUAUAUAGUCCUUGUAAGAGGCAAAAUCCACUCCAGUCCAAAAACACGACGGCUGUAAAAUGUACCUCUUCCGGAUAACCGGACUCUUGCCCUUGUUUCAGAAGUCUUAAUGGUCCUGUACGUUUAGCCGACAGACAUGUGGUUGGUCACCUGCUGCUUUCGUUGCCAGUGCGAGAACCAGCCGGUAGAGUUGGACGGAACCCGGUUCGGCUCCCGAGCAGGCUGGGCGAUCCGCGGUCAAUGCCCAGAAAAGGGGUACAUUUGCCGAGAAGAGGGCAGACUCACAGGGUGCAAUUAAGCUAGGCCGAAUCACAUAGGUAAAGCCUCGCACCCAACAUAAUUCGAAGUGCUUGGACUUAAAUUUUGACUCAAAAUCGAUUAAAAUUUAAUAUUCAAAUUCAAACUUGAUUCGAUAAAAAAAGUUAUAUUCAAGAUCAAACCGACUCGAAUAUCAACCGAGCCAUACUUGAAACACCUCUAUUAAAACAGUUUCUCAAUUUUUUUACCAAAAACCUUUAUUCUAUCAAAUGGGGCCUUAAUCGUACAUAGAUGGACAACAGAGGACCAAAGAGAAUUAGCGCUAAGGUCUCUCCCUGAUCAACUAUUUGAGGUAAAUUUUAGUCCUUUAUUUCUUUAAUUUAGUUAUUGUGAUUGAGCUAUAGAAAUUCUAAGGUUAAGGUUGAAAAUCGGAUUCUGAGAGUCUAGAGAAAUUAGUGAUUUAAUGUAGUGAUGAAGUUGAUUUCUUGAUUUUAUUAUUCUCAAGUACAUUAGUAGGCCUAAUAGAGCAAGUUGACAUAUUCGGUUAAUUAUGAUACAGGUAGAGAUGAGGAUCCUAUAUACAAUCAUCUGUAUAAUUAUGAAUAUUUUAUAUAUACAUUUAUAUCAUAUUCUGAGGAGUAUGAUGUACCCUAGAUUUUGAUAUCAUAGGAUAUUGAAUUAUAUUUAAUUAUAGUACAUGUCAUAAAUAAAGAAAUUGGAUAGUUGAAAAAUUAGAAAUUAGGCCAGGUAUUUGGACUAAGCUGUGAUAAGUGGUUUGCUGGUUAUGGGCAGAAGCAUAACACCCUAAUUAUGGUUGCCAACUAUAUGUUGAAGCUUGGUAUGCGUUGGUAAUGUUGAAGUGCCACACUUUGGUUGCAAGCUAUAACCUAAAAUAUGGCACGAGUGAUGUGAGGUUUGCUGCCAUUUGCUAGAGCAUGAUCGUUGCCGGACCAAAUGCUAGAAAUCCAGUCUAUGUUAAUAAUAUUAAAUUGAGUUUGAUUAUAGUAAUAUGUUAUGAAUAAAUAAUUUAUAAAGAAAAUCAAAUUUUUUGCAUAAUUGUAAAAUUGGAAAAAGUAGUAAUGGACUAGCUGCGAUGAGUUCUACCAGUGACAGGCUAAAGCAUGGCACUUUGGUUGCCGACUG
rnacentral:lncRNA from 1 species